GUGCUCGCUUUGGCAGCACAUACACUAAAAUGGGAAUGAUACAGAGAAGAUUAGCAUGGCCCCUGUGCAAGGAGGACACCCAAAUUCAUAGAAAGUAUCCUUUC
ensembl:snRNA U6 U6 spliceosomal RNA